rnacentral:rRNA from 1 species
UGGGGAAUUUUGCGCAAUGGGCGAAAGCCUGACGCAGCAACGCCGCGUGAGUGAUGAAGGCCUUCGGGUCGUAAAGCUCUGUCAGAGGGGAAGAACCGCCAGGUGGCUAAUACCUGCCUGGUCUGACGGUACCCUCAAAGGAAGCACCGGCUAACUCCGUGCCAGCAGCCGCGGUAAUACGGAGGGUGCAAGCGUUGUUCGGAAUUAUUGGGCGUAAAGCGCGUGUAGGCGGUUUGUUAAGUCUGGUGUGAAAGCCCUGGGCUCAACCUGGGAAGUGCAUUGGAUACUGGCAAACUUGAGUACGGGAGAGGAUAGUGGAAUUUCGAGUGUAGGGGUGAAAUCCGUAGAUAUUCGAAGGAACACCGGUGGCGAAGGCGGCUAUCUGGACCGAUACUGACGCUGAGACGCGAAAGCGUGGGGAGCAAACAGG